GCGCCCCGCGCCCGUCCCGCCGCCCCCGCCCGCCUACGGGAGGCAGCAGUAGGGAAUCUUCCACAAUGGACGCAAGUCUGAUGGAGCAACGCCGCGUGAGUGAAGAAGGUCUUCGGAUCGUAAAACUCUGUUGUUAGAGAAGAACACGAGUGAGAGUAACUGUUCAUUCGAUGACGGUAUCUAACCAGCAAGUCACGGCUAACUACGUGCCAGCAGCCGCGGUAAUACGUAGGUGGCAAGCGUUGUCCGGAUUUAUUGGGCGUAAAGGGAACGCAGGCGGUUUUUUAAGUCUGAUGUGAAAGCCUUCGGCUUAACCGGAGUAGUGCAUUGGAAACUGGAAGACUUGAGUGCAGAAGAGGAGAGUGGAACUCCAUGUGUAGCGGUGAAAUGCGUAGAUAUAUGGAAGAACACCAGUGGCGAAAGCGGCUCUCUGGUCUGUAACUGACGCUGAGGUUCGAAAGCGUGGGUAGCAAACAGGAUUAGAUACCCUGGUAGUCCACGCCGUAAAC
rnacentral:rRNA from 1 species